rnacentral:rRNA from 1 species
CCUACGGGGGGCAGCAGUGGGGAAUAUUGCACAAUGGGGGAAACCCUGAUGCAGCGACGCCGCGUGAAGGAAGAAGGUUUUCGGAUCGUAAACUUCUAUCAGCAGGGAAGAAGAAAGUGACAGUACCUGACUAAGAAGCCCCGGCUAACUACGUGCCAGCAGCCGCGGUAAUACGUAGGGGGCAAGCGUUAUCCGGAAUCACUGGGAGUAAAGGGUGCGUAGGCGGUAGGGCAAGUCAGAUGUGAAAGCCCGGGGCUCAACCCCGGGAUUGCAUUUGAAACUGUCUUAGUAGAGUGCAGGAGAGGAGAGCCGAAUUUCUAGUGUAGCGGUGAAAUGCGUAGAUAUUAAGAAGAGCACGAGUGGCAAAGGCGGCGUUUGGGACUGUAACUGACACUGAGGCACGAAGGCGUGGAGAGCGAGCAGGAACAGGUACCCUUGUAGUC